rnacentral:tRNA from 1 species
GGGAAUGUGGCUCAGUAGUAGGGUGCUUGCCUCAUAUGCAUGAAGUCCUGGGUUUGAUUCCUCAGUACCA